rnacentral:misc_RNA from 1 species
AACCAUAGAAACCUGCGGAGUACCUGCGGAGGGAUCAUUACAGAGUUGCAAAACUCCCUAAACCAUUGUGAACGUUACCUAAACCGUUGCUUCGGCGGGCGGCCCGGGUCCUUCCCGGCGCCCGUCGGCCCUCGCGGGCGCCCGCCGGAGGUAAACCAAACUAUUGCAUUGUAUGGCCUCUCUGAGUCUUCUGUACUGAAUAAGUCAAAACUUUUAGCAACGGAUCUCAGAUCGGAAGAG